GUGACCGCAUAACCACCA
rnacentral:siRNA from 1 species